rnacentral:lncRNA from 1 species
CCACAAUAUAUUUUAAUAUCUUGAAAAUGAUGCAGGUUUUAUUACUUUUUCUUUUUUCAUUGUUCUUCACUUUGUACUCUUGAAGAAAAGGGAUAUUGACAAAAAUAUGUUCUCUCUUUUCAGUCAGUAUUGAAUCCCUUCCCAAAAGAUAGGAAAGAUUGUGAAACUGCCCAAGAGAAAAGUAAUACAAUCAGUCCUCCUUGGUUUCUGAAAUGAAGGGACCCAGCCAGUCUGAGCCUCAACUGAAGAGCUGUCCUUACAUCUUGGAUCGUGGGAUCGAACUUGGGACCUUGUGCUUGCAAGGCAGGCGCCGGAACCACUGAGCUAAAUCCCCAGCGAGAGUUGAUCAUUUUAACAAGCACUACGGAGAAACACUGCAGAAGACCCUUCAAAUCAAGUGGAGUUUGGCUACUGCCUUUAAAUGUUCUAUUUAUAUUUCAUUAUGAUUUUUUAAUUUGCACUCUUUUUCACUGUAGUAGAUUAUGAACUCAUUUUUGGUGUUUGCCUCAGCAGUUCAAACAUACAACACAGAACUUGGAAUCUGGUCACUGCAUGUUGGUUGAAUAAAUG